UACGAAGGGGGCUAGCGUUGCUCGGAAUUACUGGGCGUAAAGCGCACGUAGGCGGCUCUUUAAGUCGGGGGUGAAAUCCUGGAGCUCAACUCCAGAACUGCCUUCGAUACUGGAGAGCUCGAGUCCGGGAGAGGUGAGUGGAACUGCGAGUGUAGAGGUGAAAAUUCGUAGAUAUUCGGAGGAACACCAGUGGCGAAAGGCGGCUC
rnacentral:rRNA from 1 species